UACGAAGGGGGCUAGCGUUGCUCGGAAUCACUGGGCGUAAAGCGCACGUAGGCGGAUCUUUUAAGUCAGGGGUGAAAUCCCGAGGCUCAACCUCGGAACUGCCUUUGAUACUGGGGAUCUCGAGUCCGGGAGAGGUGAGUGGAACUGCGAGUGUAGAGGUGAAAUUCGUAGAUAUUCGCAAGAACACCAGUGGCGAAGGCGGCUCACUGGCCCGAUACUGACGCUGAGGCACGAAAAGCGUGGGGAGCAAACAGG
rnacentral:rRNA from 1 species